rnacentral:rRNA from 1 species
CGCUGGCGGCGUGGAUUAGGCAUGCAAGUCGAACGAGAAUCUGAGAGUCCAAGUUUUCGGACAAGGACUUUUGGAGGAAAGUGGCGGAAGGGUGAGUACAACAUGGAUAAUCUACCUUCAAGUUGGGUAUAGCUUUCCGAAAGGAGAGAUAAUCCCGGAUGUGGUGAUCCGGCGCAUGCCGGAGACUCCAAAGGUGGGGACCGCAAGGCCUGCCGCUUGAAGAUGAGUCCGUGCACUAUCAGCUAGUUGGUGAGGUAAUGGCUCACCAAGGCUAUGACGGUUAGCUGGUCUGAGAGGAUGGUCAGCCACACUGGGACUGAGAUACUGCCCAGACACCUACGGGUGGCUGCAGUCGAGAAUCUUCGGCAAUGGGCGCAAGCCUGACCGAGCGACGCCGCGUGCGGGAUGAAGGCCUUCGGGUUGUAAACCGCUGUCGGAGGGGAGGAAAUUCCAUGAGGUACUCCUCAUGGAUUGACCUAGCCUCAAAGGAGGGACGGGCUAAGUUCGUGCCAGCAGCCGCGGUAAGACGAACCGUCCAAACGUUAUUCGGAAUCACUGGGCUUAAAGGGUGCGUAGGCGGCGCUGAAAGUUGGGUGUGAAAUCCCUCGGCUCAACCGAGGAACUGCGCUCAAAACUACAGUGCUUGAGGGAGACAGAGGUGAGCGGAACUUGCGGUGGAGCGGUGAAAUGCGUUGAUAUCGCAAGGAACACCAGUGGCGUAAGCGGCUCACUGGGUCUCUUCUGACGCUGAGGCACGAAAGCUAGGGGAGCGAACGGGAUUAGAUACCCCGGUAGUCCUAGCCGUAAACGCUGAGCACUAGAUCGAAGGGUACUCCAUAGCCUUUCGGUCGUAGCGAAAGUGUUAAGUGCUCCGCCUGGGGAGUAUGGUCGCAAGGCUGAAACUCAAAGGAAUUGACGGGGGCUCACACAAGCGGUGGAGGAUGUGGCUUAAUUCGAGGCUACGCGAAGAACCUUAUCCUAGGCUUGACAUGCUCGGAUUAGUCUCUGGAAACAGAGGUGACGCCUUCGGGUGGAACGAGCACAGGUGCUGCAUGGCUGUCGUCAGCUCGUGUCGUGAGAUGUCGGGUUAAGUCCCUUAACGAGCGAAACCCUUGUCGCUAGUUGCCAGCGAGUCAUGUCGGGGACUCUAGCGAGACUGCCGGUGUUAAACCGGAGGAAGGCGGGGAUGACGUCAAGUCCUCAUGGCCUUUAUGCCUAGGGCUGCACAUGUCCUACAAUGGUACGCACAAAGGGAAGCAAACUCGCGAGAGUGAGCAAAUCCCAAAAAACGUGCCCCAGUUCGGAUUGCAGGCUGAAACCCGCCUGCAUGAAGCCGGAAUCGCUAGUAAUCGCGGGUCAGCAUACCGCGGUGAAUGUGUUCCUGAGCCU